GUGUCAGCCGCCGCGGUAAUACGAAGGGGGCUAGCGUUGCUCGGAAUCACUGGGCGUAAAGGGCGCGUAGGCGGCCGAUCAAGUCAGAGGUGAAAGCCCAGGGCUCAACCCUGGAAUUGCCUUUGAUACUGUUUGGCUAGAGACCGGAAGAGGUUAGUGGAACUGCGAGUGUAGAGGUGAAAUUCGUAGAUAUUCGCAAGAACACCAGUGGCGAAGGCGGCUAACUGGUCCGGUUCUGACGCUGAGGCGCGAAAGCGUGGGGAGCAAACAGGAUUAGAUACCCCGGUAGUCC
rnacentral:rRNA from 1 species